rnacentral:rRNA from 1 species
GGAUGAACGCCGGCGGUGUGCCUAAUACAUGCAAGUCGUACGCACUGGCCCAACUGAUUGAUGGUGCUUGCACCUGAUUGACGAUGGAUCACCAGUGAGUGGCGGACGGGUGAGUAACACGUAGGUAACCUGCCCCGGAGCGGGGGAUAACAUUUGGAAACAGAUGCUAAUACCGCAUAACAACAAAAGCCACAUGGCUUUUGUUUGAAAGAUGGCUUUGGCUAUCACUCUGGGAUGGACCUGCGGUGCAUUAGCUAGUUGGUAAGGUAACGGCUUACCAAGGCGAUGAUGCAUAGCCGAGUUGAGAGACUGAUCGGCCACAAUGGAACUGAGACACGGUCCAUACUCCUACGGGAGGCAGCAGUAGGGAAUCUUCCACAAUGGGCGCAAGCCUGAUGGAGCAACACCGCGUGAGUGAAGAAGGGUUUCGGCUCGUAAAGCUCUGUUGUUGGAGAAGAACGUGCGUGAGAGUAACUGUUCACGCAGUGACGGUAUCCAACCAGAAAGUCACGGCUAACUACGUGCCAGCAGCCGCGGUAAUACGUAGGUGGCAAGCGUUAUCCGGAUUUAUUGGGCGUAAAGCGAGCGCAGGCGGUUGCUUAGGUCUGAUGUGAAAGCCUUCGGCUUAACCGAAGAAGUGCAUCGGAAACCGGGCGACUUGAGUGCAGAAGAGGACAGUGGAACUCCAUGUGUAGCGGUGGAAUGCGUAGAUAUAUGGAAGAACACCAGUGGCGAAGGCGGCUGUCUGGUCUGCAACUGACGCUGAGGCUCGAAAGCAUGGGUAGCGAACAGGAUUAGAUACCCUGGUAGUCCAUGCCGUAAACGAUGAGUGCUAGGUGUUGGAGGGUUUCCGCCCUUCAGUGCCGGAGCUAACGCAUUAAGCACUCCGCCUGGGGAGUACGACCGCAAGGUUGAAACUCAAAGGAAUUGACGGGGGCCCGCACAAGCGGUGGAGCAUGUGGUUUAAUUCGAAGCUACGCGAAGAACCUUACCAGGUCUUGACAUCUUGCGCUAACCUUAGAGAUAAGGCGUUCCCUUCGGGGACGCAAUGACAGGUGGUGCAUGGUCGUCGUCAGCUCGUGUCGUGAGAUGUUGGGUUAAGUCCCGCAACGAGCGCAACCCUUGUUACUAGUUGCCAGCAUUAAGUUGGGCACUCUAGUGAGACUGCCGGUGACAAACCGGAGGAAGGUGGGGACGACGUCAGAUCAUCAUGCCCCUUAUGACCUGGGCUACACACGUGCUACAAUGGACGGUACAACGAGUUGCAAACUCGCGAGAGCAAGCUAAUCUCUUAAAGCCGUUCUCAGUUCGGACUGUAGGCUGCAACUCGCCUACACGAAGUCGGAAUCGCUAGUAAUCGCGGAUCAGCAUGCCGCGGUGAA